rnacentral:rRNA from 1 species
UGGGGAAUAUUGCACAAUGGGCGAAAGCCUGAUGCAGCGACGCCGCGUGAGGGAUGACGGCCUUCGGGUUGUAAACCUCUUUCAGCAGGGACGAAGCGCAAGUGACGGUACCUGCAGAAGAAGCACCGGCUAACUACGUGCCAGCAGCCGCGGUAAUACGUAGGGUGCAAGCGUUGUCCGGAAUUACUGGGCGUAAAGAGUUCGUAGGCGGUUUGUCGCGUCGUUUGUGAAAACCAGCAGCUCAACUGCUGGCUUGCAGGCGAUACUGGCAGACUUGAGUACUGCAGGGGAGACUUGAAUUCCUGGUGUAGCGGUGAAAUGCGCAGAUAUCAGGAGGAACACCGGUGGCGAAGGCGGGUCUCUGGGCAGUAACUGACGCUGAGGAACGAAAGGGUGGGUAGCGAACAGG